rnacentral:rRNA from 1 species
GACGAACGCUGGCGGCGCGCUUAACACAUGCAAGUCGAACGGAAAGGCCUGCUUUCCCUUGUGGAUUGCGGGUACUCGAGUGGCGAACGGGUGAGUAACACGUGAGUGAUCUGCCCCCAACUUGGGUAUAAGCCUGGGAAACUGGGUCUAAUUCCCGAUAGGACUGCAGGGUGGUGCCUGUGGUGGAAAACGAUUUUCUAGUGGUUGGGGAUGAGCUCGCGGCCUAUCAGCUUGUUGGUGGGGUAAUGGCCUACCAAGGCGGCGACGGGUAGCCGGCCUGAGAGGGUGGACGGCCACAUUGGGACUGAGAUACGGCCCAGACUCCUACGGGAGGCAGCAGUGGGGAAUAUGGCACAAUGGGCGGAAGCCUGAUGCAGCGACGCCGCGUGGGGGAUGACGGCCUUCGGGUGGUAAACUCCUUUCGACCGCGAGGAAGCCACCUGGUUGGAAGGGUGGUGACGGUAGUGGUAGAAGAAGCACCGGCUAACUACGUG